UCGCGACAAGGUUUUGAAGAACUCUGCCCCGUGUUUUCCCGGUCUGGGUGCUUGAAGAGAAGGAAAGGGCCAAGAGAACACGAAACUGCCGAACGCCGCUGGGCCGAAUAUUCCUUCAAGAGUCCAAGGAAACUGUCCCUGGGGACGGGCGAAGGGCGGGCCGUGGCGUGGUCCCUGCCGUCGCGCACCGGGGCGGAUCGUGUGAUUCUUGAGACUCAGGACCCGGCCUCCCUGUUCUACUUUUAAGAACACUUCUGAUUACAUUGGACCACCUAGAGAAUUCAGGAUAACUUUCCAUUUUAAGGGCUCAGACCUUUGGAGACCACUCUCCUC